CGCCGGACCCUUUGUGCUGGAAUCGCGUGAACCGAGUCAGGUUGGGAACAAAGCAGCUCUAAGCGUGGAGACCAGGUGCGGAGGUGCUCUGUCGUCC
rnacentral:SRP_RNA from 1 species